UUGACCUCGGAUCAGGUAGGGAUACCCCGCCUGAACUUAAGCAUAUCAAUAAACCCGAA
rnacentral:rRNA from 1 species